AUGCUUGGCGGAGCCGGCCAUCCAUGGGGUCGUCGGGGUCCCUGUCCAAGGUCAGAGAGAGAGCAGGAUAUGCUGCGGGGCGGCGGCGCUCCUCGAGGUAGCCGACGGUGGCGAACGCGUGGAUCCAGGCAGCAGCGGACGGGGUCCGGCGACGAGCGGCUCUGGCUGCUCGAUGCAGGGGCGCAGCAGGGACCGAAGCAGGCCGUGAAGACGACAGCGGCGCGGGACUUGGUGUGCGGCAGCAGCUUGCAGGGUCGUCGGCGCGGGGUUGGUCUUCCUGGUGGAGCUCGGCGGCCCAAGCGAUGGAGAGGGAGAGAAAAGGAUCGGGCGCGCGCGUUCCUUCCUGGCGGCGCGAGCAGCGAGACAAGAGGAGAGAGUAGGGGUCGAGGGAAGGAUGAGGAGAGGCUGCGGGCGGAUGGGAUCGAGCGAGAGGGUGAGGAGGCGGCUGGAGGAGGAACGAAGAGGGGAUCGAGCAUAGGCCUCUCCUGCGGCUAG
rnacentral:rRNA from 1 species